UGCUAAUUAUGGAGCUGAUAAAGAAUAUUU
rnacentral:piRNA from 1 species